GAGUUUGAUCCUGGCUCAGGAUGAACGCUAGCGGCAGGCUUAACACAUGCAAGUCGAGGGGCAACACGGGUAGCAAUACCUGGUGGCGACCGGCGCAAGGGUGCGUAACGCGUGAGCAACAUACCCUAUACAGGGGGAUAAUCCAGGGAAACUUGGUCUAAUAUCCCAUNNNAUUUACAGAUGUCAUCAUCUAUAAAUUAAAGCUUCGGUGGUAUAGGAUUGGCUCGCGUGACAUUAGCUNNAUGGUGGGGUAACGGCCUACCA
rnacentral:rRNA from 1 species